rnacentral:rRNA from 1 species
GAUGAACGCUAGCGAUAGGCUUAACACAUGCAAGUCGAGGGGCAGCGAUGGUAGCAAUACCUGUCGGCGACCGGCGCACGGGUGAGUAACGCGUAUGUAACCUGCCCGCAACAGAGGGAUAACCCGGCGAAAGUCGGACUAAUACCUCAUAAAACAGGGGUUCCGCAUGGGGCUAUUUGUUAAAGAUUUAUUGGUUGCGGAUGGGCAUGCGUACCAUUAGGUAGUUGGUGAGGUAACGGCUCACCAAGCCGUCGAUGGUUAGGGGUUCUGAGAGGAAGGUCCCCCACACUGGUACUGAGACACGGACCAGACUCCUACGGGAGGCAGCAGUGAGGAAUAUUGGUCAAUGGGCGAGAGCCUGAACCAGCCAAGUCGCGUGAAGGAUGACUGCCCUAUGGGUUGUAAACUUCUUUUACAGGGGAAUAAAAUGAGAUACGUGUAUUUUAUUGCAUGUACCUUGUGAAUAAGCAUCGGCUAACUCCGUGCCAGCAGCCGCGGUAAUACGGAGAUGCGAGCGUGAUCCGGAUUUAUUGGGUUUAAAGGGUGCGUAGGUGGGCUGUUAAGUCCGCGGUGAAAGUUGUCGCUUAACGAUAAAAUUGCCGUUGAAACUGGUAGUCUUGAGUAUAGAUGAAGUAGGCGGAAUGCGUGGUGUAGCGGUGAAAUGCAUAGAGAUCACGCAGAACUCCGAUUGCGAAGGCAGCUUACUAAGGUAUGACUGACACUGAAGCACGAAAGCGUGAGUAUCAAACAGGAUUAGAUACCCUGGUAGUCCACGCAGUAAACGAUGAUUACUAGGAGUUUGCGAUAUAGUGUAAGCUCUACAGCAAAAGCGUUAAGUAAUCCACCUGGGGAGUACGCCGGCAACGGUGAAACUCAAAGGAAUUGACGGGGGCCCGCACAAGCGGAGGAACAUGUGGUUUAAUUCGAUGAUACGCGAGAACCUUACCCGGGGAUUGAAAUGUAG